UACGGAGGGUGCAAGCGUUGUUCGGAAUCACUGGGCGUAAAGGGCGUGUAGGCGGUCCGCUAAGUCUGAUGUGAAAGCCCGAGGCUUACCCUCGGAAGUGCAUUGGAGACUGGCGGACUGGAGUCCCGGAGAGGAGGGUGGAAUUCCUGGUGUAGCGGUGAAAUGCGUAGAUAUCAGGAGGAACGCCGGAGGCGAAAGCGAGUGACUGGCGCGUUCCUGACGCUGAGGUGCGAAAGCUAGGGGAGCAAACAGG
rnacentral:rRNA from 1 species